rnacentral:lncRNA from 1 species
AACUCCAUCUUUGCCCACGGUUUGAGCCCGUCAAGAAAAGUGAAGAGAGAGUCCUCGUUGCUGAGGUCUGGUACCUCCAACAACAAUUCGCUGAACUCUCGCACAUACUCACGCACAUCGCCCUUUUGCGUGAGCCGCCGUAGUCGUGCUCGAGCAUCAUCCUUAGCGAACGCGGGGAAGAAUUGCUUUCGAAGUUCAGUUUGGAACUGUACCCAAGUGGUGAUUGGAACAGCCCCUCGCUUCACAUCGUCGGCCCGACGUCGCCACCAAAGCAUCGCCACAUCCCUCAAGAACAUGGCCGCCGUGCUCACCUUCAUGGCUUCCUCCCUCACGCCGGUAACCUGCAAGUAUUGCUCCACGGCGAAAAGAAAGUUAUCCACCUCCUUCGCGGACCGUUGUCCGCAGAACUCUUGUGGCUUGGGAACAUCAAGCUUGUGCAGGGGGCGCGUAG